ACGAAGGGUGCAAGCGUUAAUCGGAAUUACUGGGCGUAAAGGGCGCGUAGGCGGCAUGGCAAGUCAGGUGUGAAAGCCCCGGGCUUAACUCGGGAACUGCAUCUGAAACUGCUGUGCUUGAGUCCUGGAGGGGGUAGUGGAAUUCCCAGUGUAGCGGUGAAAUGCGUAGAUAUUGGGAGGAACACCGGUGGCGAAGGCGGCUACCUGGACAGUGACUGACGCUGAGGCGCGAAAGCUAGGGGAGCGAACGGGA
rnacentral:rRNA from 1 species